UACGGAGGGGGCUAGCGUUGUUCGGAAUUACUGGGCGUAAAGCGCACGUAGGCGGCUUUGUAAGUUAGAGGUGAAAGCCCAGGGCUUAACCCUGGAAUUGCCUUUAAGACUGCAUCGCUAGAAUCGUGGAGAGGUGAGUGGAAUUCCGAGUGUAGAGGUGAAAUUCGUAGAUAUCGGAAGAACACCAGUGGCGAAGGCGACUCACUGGACACGUAUUGACGCUGAGGUGCGAA
rnacentral:rRNA from 1 species